rnacentral:tRNA from 1 species
GGAGCUGUGGCUCAGUGAUAGAGCACUCAUCUUGAAUGUGUGAGGCACUGAGUGUGAUCCUCAGCACCUCAU